rnacentral:lncRNA from 1 species
UUGCAUCAAAACGCAUCUAAGGUCGUUUAACGAAUCAUCACUUUAUAUUACAAAUUCUUUACCCGAUUCUGUUUGUGCUAACAACUGAGCUUCAGUUAACAGGGCUUUCAACUGAUCGAAACUUUUUUGACACUUUUUGGACUAUUCAAAUUUCACAUCUUUCUGAAACAAUUUCGUCAACGGAGUAGCAAUCAUAGAAAAU